rnacentral:misc_RNA from 1 species
UCCGGUUUAUCACCGGCAGUCUCCUUAGAGUCCCCAACUAAAUGAUGGCAACUAAGGAUAAGGGUUGCGCUCGUUACGGGACUUAACCCAACAUCUCACAACACGAGCUGACGACAGCCAUGCAGCACCUGUCUCAAAGUUCCUUUCGGCACAACCGCAUCUCUGCAGUCUUCUUUGGAUGUCAAGGGUAGGUAAGGUUCUUCGCGUUGCAUCGAAUUAAACCACAUGCUCCACCGCUUGUGCGGGCCCCCGUCAAUUCCUUUGAGCUUUAAUCUUGCGACCGUACUCCCCAGGCGGAAAACUUAUCGCGUUAGCUCCGAUACAGAUCAGUCUAAGCUGAACUACAUCUAGUUUUCAUCGUUUACAGCGUGGACUAC